CAGCAUCCUUACCCUCCAUCAAGUCAUUGCUCUGCAAGAUAAGAUUGGAAGAGGCCUUCAUAUCACUUGAACAUCCAUUAGUCACAAAAUUCCGUCACGAGAAGAUUGCUUAUCGUGCAAUUAAGGAUAUGGCUUGUGAGUACCAGCAGAUGCUUGAGCUUCUUAGAAAGGCCCCAUUUAUUGGCAGAUGGCGUGCUAAGCCAGG